rnacentral:rRNA from 1 species
UACGUAGGGGGCAAGCGUUGUCCGGAUUUAUUGGGCGUAAAGAGCGUGUAGGCGGCCAGACAGGUCCGUUGUGAAAACUCGAGGCUCAACCUCGAGACGUCGACGGAAACCGUCUGGCUAGAGUCCGGAAGAGGAGUGUGGAAUUCCUGGUGUAGCGGUGAAAUGCGCAGAUAUCAGGAGGAACACCGGUGGCGAAGGCGGGUCUCUGAGCCGAUAUUGACGCUGAGGAGCGAAAGCGUGGGGAGCGAACAGG